ACGGAAGGCAGCAGUGGGGAAUAUUAGGCAAUGGGGGCAACCCUGACCUAGCAACGCCGCGUGAAGGAAGAAGGCCUUCGGGUUGUAAACUUCUUUUAUGAGGGACGAAGGACGUGACGGUACCUCAUGAAUAAGCCACGGCUAACUACGUGCCAGCAGCCGCGGUAAUACGUAGGUGGCAAGCGUUAUCCGGAUUUACUGGGUGUAAAGGGCGCGUAGGCGGGAAGGCAAGUCAGAUGUGAAAUCCAUGGGCUCAACCCAUGAACUGCAUUUGAAACUGUUUUUCUUGAGUGCUGGAGAGGUAGACGGAAUUCCUUGUGUAGCGGUGAAAUGCGUAGAUAUAAGGAAGAACACCAGUGGCGAAGGCGGUCUACUGGACAGUAACUGACGCUGAGGCGCGAAAGCGUGGGGAGCAAACAGGAUUAGAUACCCUGGUA
rnacentral:rRNA from 1 species